rnacentral:rRNA from 1 species
GGUGCGAUUGACGCUGAGGCUCGAAAGUGCGGGUAUCAAACAGGAUUAGAUACCCUGGUAGUCCGCACGGUAAACGAUGGAUGCCCGCUGUUUGCGAUAUACUGUGAGCGGCCAAGAGAAAUCGUUAAGCAUCCCACCUGGGGAGUACGCCGGCAACGGUGAAACUCAAAGGAAUUGACGGGGGCCCGCACAAGCGGAGGAACAUGUGGUUUAAUUCGAUGAUACGCGAGGAACCUUACCCGGGCUUGAACUGCAGGAGAACGAUACAGAGAUGUUGAGGUCCUUCGGGACUCCUGUGGAGGUGCUGCAUGGUUGUCGUCAGCUCGUGCCGUGAGGUGUCGGCUUAAGUGCCAUAACGAGCGCAACCCUUUUCGUCAGUUGCCAUCAGGUGAUGCUGGGCACUCUGGCGAUACUGCCACCGUAAGGUGUGAGGAAGGUGGGGAUGACGUCAAAUCAGCACGGCCCUUACGUCCGGGGCUACACACGUGUUACAAUGGGGAGUACAGAGAGUCAACCGCCGGCAACGUCGGUUUAAUCAAGAAAGCUCUCCUCAGUUCGGAUUGGGGUCUGCAACCCGACCCCAUGAAGCUGGAUUCGCUAG